rnacentral:rRNA from 1 species
CUUUCGGGAUCUUGAGAGCGGCGUACGGGUGCGGAACACGUGUGCAACCUGCCUUUAUCUGGGGGAUAGCCUUUCGAAAGGAAGAUUAAUACCCCAUAAUAUGUUGGAUGGCAUCAUUCGACAUUGAAAACUCCGGUGGAUAGAGAUGGGCACGCGCAAGAUUAGAUAGUUGGUGAGGUAACGGCUCACCAAGUCUGCGAUCUUUAGGGGGCCUGAGAGGGUGAUCCCCCACACUGGUACUGAGACACGGACCAGACUCCUACGGGAGGCAGCAGUGAGGAAUAUUGGACAAUGGGUGAGAGCCUGAUCCAGCCAUCCCGCGUGAAGGACGACGGCCCUAUGGGUUGUAAACUUCUUUUGUAUAGGGAUAAACCUACUCUCGUGAGAGUAGCUGAAGGUACUAUACGAAUAAGCACCGGCUAACUCCGUGCCAGCAGCCGCGGUAAUACGGAGGGUGCAAGCGUUAUCCGGAUUUAUUGGGUUUAAAGGGUCCGUAGGCGGAUCUGUAAGUCAGUGGUGAAAUCUCACAGCUUAACUGUGAAACUGCCAUUGAUACUGCAGGUCUUGAGUGUUGUUGAAGUAGCUGGAAUAAGUAGUGUAGCGGUGAAAUGCAUAGAUAUUACUUAGAACACCAAUUGCGAAGGCAGGUUACUAAGCAACAACUGACGCUGAUGGACGAAAGCGUGGGGAGCGAACAGGAUUAGAUACCCUGGUAGUCCACGCCGUAAACGAUGCUAACUCGUUUUUGGGCUUUCGGGUUCAGAGACUAAGCGAAAGUGAUAAGUUAGCCACCUGGGGAGUACGAACGCAAGUUUGAAACUCAAAGGAAUUGACGGGGGCCCGCACAAGCGGUGGAUUAUGUGGUUUAAUUCGAUGAUACGCGAGGAACCUUACCAAGGCUUAAAUGGGAAAUGACAGGUUUAGAAAUAGACUUUUCUUCGGACAUUUUUCAAGGUGCUGCAUGGUUGUCGUCAGCUCGUGCCGUGAGGUGUUAGGUUAAGUCCUGCAACGAGCGCAACCCCUGUCACUAGUUGCCAUCAUUAAGUUGGGGACUCUAGUGAGACUGCCUACGCAAGUAGAGAGGAAGGUGGGGAUGACGUCAAAUCAUCACGGCCCUUACGCCUUGGGCCACACACGUAAUACAAUGGCCGGUACAGAGGGCAGCUACACAGCGAUGUGAUGCAAAUCUCGAAAGCCGGUCUCAGUUCGGAUUGGAGUCUGCAACUCGACUCUAUGAAGCUGGAAUCGCUAGUAAUCGCGCAUCAGCCAUGGCGCGGUGAAUACGUUCCCGGGCCUUGUACACACCGCCCGUCAAGCCAUGGAAGUCUGGGGUACC